rnacentral:rRNA from 1 species
GACGAACGCUGGCGGCGUGCUUAACACAUGCAAGUCACGGGGGUCUCGGGGCGAACUCGGGAUAACCGGCGAACGGGUGCGUAACACGUAAGCGACCUGCCGAUUCGCGGGGGGAGUAGCCGGCCCAACGGCCGGGUAAUACCGCAUACGCUUGCUGGGUUUCAUGGCCGGGCAAGGAAACCUCCGGGGAACCGGGAGGGCGGAUCGAGGGGCUUGCGGCCUAUCAGCUAGUUGGUGAGGUAACAGCUCACCAAGGCGGNGACGGGUAGCUGGUCUGAGAGGAUGGCCAGCCACAUUGGGACUGAGAGACGGCCCAGACUCCUACGGGAGGCAGCAGUGGGGAAUCUUGCGCAAUGGGCGAAAGCCUGACGCAGCGACGCCGCGUGCGGGAUGAAGGCCUCGGUCGUAACC